AUGCUCGUUUUGGGUGGCAGCGCUCCRGGCUGCCUCGUCCCUUCUCCCAGUGUCACUUGUCCCCAGGGACGUCGCUGUGCUGGGGCCGGGGGGCCGGCAGCCCCCCAGUGCCACCCCAGCGCAUGGGGCUGGCGGCAGCGCGGGGGCCGUGUCGGCCCCGAGUGCUGCCAGCGGUGCCGAGCGCCGAGCCCCAGCCCUGCCCCAACCCAGCACCCCGGGGAGCGGGGGGCCUGGAAAUGGGGCUCCGGCAGGUCUGAUCCAGGCCCCGGCCGGGGAGCUAGCGGGGAUACGGCCUCGUCGCAUUCAGCAGAGCCUGAUUUGUGUCCCCAAAUGGGAGAUUUUGCAAGUCUGGUGGAAAGGCUGGACAGAGGAAAGCAGGAAUGGCAGGAACGGCAGGAAUGGCAGGGAUGCAGGAACGGCAGGAAUGGCAGGGAUGGCAGGGAUAGCAGGCUUGACAGGGACAGCAGGGAUAGCAGGGACAGCAGGGAUAGUAGGGACGGGAGGGAUGGCAGGGAUGGCAGGGACGGCAGGGACAGCAGGGGUGGCAGGGACAACAGGGACGCAGGAAUAGCAGGGACAGCAGGGAUGGUAGGAAUGAGGAGGCUCCCAGGGGUCGAGGCCCUGCCGCGCUCCAGCCAUGCAGCCCGUGUGAUGCCUCCGCACUCACCGGCCCCUGGGACCGGCCGGGGGAAUCUCCGUUCCGGCGCCUGCUGGGGAGAAGCGACGCCUGAGCAGGGUGUCGUCCCCCCCCCGCGAGCCCUGGCGCUGCCGCGGGCUCACCCCAGCCUGAGAGCGGGACGCACCUCGUGCAGCCUCGGGGACCGUCCUGCCCUCUGGGGCUCCCUGGUACCUCCCGUCCCUUUCCCCACGGGGCCAGGUACCAUGUGGAUUUGGGGACCUCCUUGCUGGAGCUGGAUGUCUCCCGCAGGUGCUGGGUCACUCCGACCAGGAAAACUGAGGCCUGUAGCUCUCAUGGCAGUGAUGAGCUCGGCUGCACAAUCCCUGCCUCACCCUAGCGAGGAAGACCCCCCAGAUUCCCGACUGCAGCUCCAGGGAUCUCUCGGUCAGGGUCCCCAAGGACCGACCAGGGCUGCCUGGACCUCGGGCCCCUCCUGCCCUUCUCCUCCUGGGCUUUGCGGGCUAAGAAUACCUCGCACGGCACUGCAAAUCCAGGUGCCGGGUAGGAAGAGAUUACGGAUGCGGAGUGGGGAUGUGCCAUAA
rnacentral:lncRNA from 1 species